GACGAACGCUGGCGGCGUGCUUAACACAUGCAAGUCGAGCGGUAAGGCCCUUUCGGGGGUACACGAGCGGCGAACGGGUGAGUAACACGUGGGUGACCUGCCCUCAGCUCUGGGAUAAGCCUGGGAAGCCGGGUCUAAUACUGGAUAUGACUCCAUGACGCAUGUUGUGGGGUGAAAGCCUUGUGCGGCUGAGGAUGGGCCCGCGGCCUAUCAGCUUGGGUGGGGUGAUGGCCUACCAAGGCGACGACGGGUAGCCGGCCUGAGAGGGCGACCGGCCACACUGGGACUGAGACACGGCCCAG
rnacentral:rRNA from 1 species